UACGUAGGGUGCGAGCGUUGUCCGGAAUUAUUGGGCGUAAAGAGCUCGUAGGCGGUUUGUCGCGUCUGCUGUGAAAACGCGAGGCUCAACCUCGCGCCUGCAGUGGGUACGGGCAGACUGGAGUGCGGUAGGGGGAGAUUGGAAUUCCUGGUGUAGCGGUGGAAUGCGCAGAUAUCAGGAGGAACACCGAUGGCGAAGGCAGAUCUCUGGGCCGUAACUGACGCUGAGGAGCGAAAGCGUGGGGAGCGAACAGG
rnacentral:rRNA from 1 species